UACAGAGGGUGCAAGCGUUGUUCGGAAUUACUGGGCGUAAAGGGCGCGUAGGCGGCACGGCAAGUCAGGAGUGAAAGGCCUGGGCUCAACCGAGGAACUGCUUUUGAGACUGCCGAGCUAGAGUGCAGAAGGGGCAACUGGAAUUCCCAGUGUAGCGGUGAAAUGCGUAGAUAUUGGGAAGAACACCUGAGGCGAAGGCGGGUUGCUGGGCUGACACUGACGCUGAGGCGCGAAAGCCAGGGGAGCAAACGGG
rnacentral:rRNA from 1 species